rnacentral:sRNA from 1 species
GCUGAUUCAUCCACUGAAGCCCUGGGCCGGGAGGCUUUCCUCUAAGAUCUGUGGGAACUGCGCAGGGCCCUCCUCAAUCUAGGCCUCAGAAUUUCCCCUGAGGUUUGGAGUUGAGCUAGACAGCCUUUAAGAGAAGCUGUGGCUGUAUUCCCACUGGUACCUCACUUUCCUCUUGUGAGGCAAGGAGGUCUUGUCUACAUGAGGGGCGGGCCUGAAGUUGGAUUCUGGAGGGGAGCCAAAUGGGGCCUCAGCUGUGUGGUGCGGCCCUGUUGGCAGUGGGCAUCUGGGUGUCAAUCGAUGGGGCAUCCUUUCUGAAGAUCUUCGGGCCACUGUCGUCCAGUGCCAUGCAGUUUGUCAACGUGGGCUACUUCCUCAUCGCAGCCGGCGUUGUGGUCUUUGCUCUUGGUUUCCUGGGCUGCUAUGGUGCUAAGACUGAGAGCAAGUGUGCCCUCAUGACGUUCUUCUUCAUCCUCCUCCUCAUCUUCAUUGCUGAGGUUGCAGCUGCUGUGGUCGCCUUGGUGUACACCACAAUGGCUGAGCACUUCCUGACGUUGCUGGUAGUGCCUGCCAUCAAGAAAGAUUAUGGUUCCCAGGAAGACUUCACUCAAGUGUGGAACACCACCAUGAAAGGGGUAAGGUUGGCUGGGGGAGGUUUUAGGGUGGAGAGAAAGAAGCAAGGCCCCACCUCCACCCUCAUCUUGUCUCCAGCUCAAGUGCUGUGGCUUCACCAACUAUACGGAUUUUGAGGACUCACCCUACUUCAAAGAGAACAGUGCCUUUCCCCCAUUCUGUUGCAAUGACAACGUCACCAACACAGCCAAUGAAACCUGCACCAAGCAAAAGGCUCACGACCAAAAAGUAGAGGGUUGCUUCAAUCAGCUUUUGUAUGACAUCCGAACUAAUGCAGUCACCGUGGGUGGUGUGGCAGCUGGAAUUGGGGGCCUCGAG